UUGUGUUAUUGGCCGAAAAUAG
rnacentral:miRNA from 1 species